UCAAGCGCGAAAAGGGCGUUUGGUGAAUGCCUUGGCAGUAAGAGGCGAUGAAAGACGUGAUACUCUGCGAUAAGCCAUGGGGAGCUGAGAAUAAGCUUUGAUCCAUGGAUUUCUGAAUGGGGCAACCCACCUGAUACUUUGUUAUUACUGCACUUCGGUGCAGCUAAUAACUUGGUAAACCAGGUAUUUUUAGGCUGAAUAUAUAGGCUUAAAAAGGCAAACCCGGGGAACUGAAACAUCUAAGUACCCGGAGGAAAGGAAAUCAAUAUGAUACUCCCCUAGUAGCGGCGAGCGAACGGGGACCAGCCGAGCCAUGAGUGUGGUUAGAAUGCGUUGGAAUGCGCAACCAAAGUGGGUGAUAGUCCCGUAUAAGAAGCAUGAUUGGACGUAUUAAGUAGGGCGGAACACGUGAAAUUCUGUCUGAAGAUCGGAGGACCACCUUCGAAGGCUAAGUACUCCUUACUGACCGAUAGUGAACCAGUACCGUGAGGGAAAGGUGAAAAGCACCCCGACGAGGGGAGUGAAACAGUACCUGAAACCGAACGCCUACAAUCAGUUGGAGGGUCUUUACGGCCUGACAGCGUACCUUUUGUAUAAUGGGUCAUCGACUUGGUCUCACAAGCAAGCUUAAGCCGUUAGGUGUAGGCGUAGCGAAAGCGAGUCUUAAUAGGGCGUUGAGUUUGUGGGAUCAGACCCGAAACCGAGUGAUCUAGGCAUGGCCAGGUUGAAGAUAAGGUAACACUUAUUGGAGGACCGAACCCACAUCUGUUGAAAAAGAUCGGGAUGAGCUGUGCCUAGGGGUGAAAGGCCAAUCAAACUCGGAGAUAGCUGGUUCUCUGCGAAAUCUAUUUAGGUAGAGCGUCAUCCGAAUACCCUCGGGGGUAGAGCACUGGAUGGGUAAUGGGGCCCCACAGGCUUACUGAUCCUAACCAAACUCCGAAUACCGAGGAGUACUAGAUGGCAGACACACAGCGGAUGCUAACGUCCGUUGUGAAGAGGGAAACAACCCUGACCUACAGCUAAGGCCCCUAAUUCAUGGCUAAGUGGGAAAGCAGGUGAGACGACCAAAACAACCAGGAGGUUGGCUUAGAAGCAGCCAUCCUUUAAAGAUAGCGUAACAGCUCACUGGUCUAAAUAAGUUGUCUUGCGGCGAAGAUGUAACGGGGCUCAAGCCAUGAGCCGAAGCUGAGGAUGCAUUUAUUGCAUGGUAGCAGAGCGUAGUGUGACAUAGUUCCAUGUGUCCUUAUCGUCCCUCGGGACGCAUUGGACACAAGGAGCUUUCUGUGAAGCUGGCGCGUGAGCGAUCCGGUGGAGAGAUCACUAGUGAGAAUGAUGACAUGAGUAGCGACAAAGAGUGUGAGAGACACUCUCGCCGAAAAUCCAAGGGUUCCUGCUUAAAGCUAAUCUGAGCAGGGUAAGCCGACCCCUAAGGCGAGGCCGAAAGGCGUAGUCGAUGGGAACCAGGUUAAUAUUCCUGGGCCAGAUGGAAGUGACGGAUCUCGAGGGUAGUUCAUCCUUAUCGGAUUGAAUGGGCUGCUUAGAGGUCCCUGGAAAUAGCUCCAUCGCUAGAUCGUACCCUAAACCGACACAGGUGGAUAGGUAGAGAAUACCAAGGCGCUUGAGAGAACUAUGUUGAAGGAACUCGGCAAAAUACCUCCGUAAGUUCGCGAGAAGGAGGCCCGGUUUCUAGGCAACUAGAGGCUGGGGGCACAAACCAGGGGGUGGCGACUGUUUAUUAAAAACACAGGGCUCUGCGAAGUCGUAAGACGACGUAUAGGGUCUGACGCCUGCCCGGUGCCUGAAGGUUAAAAGGAGGGGUGAGAGCUCUGAAUUGAAGCCCAGGUAAACGGCGGCCGUAACUAUAACGGUCCUAAGGUAGCGAAAUUCCUUGUCGGG
rnacentral:rRNA from 1 species